rnacentral:rRNA from 1 species
GACGUAGGGCGCGAGCGUUGUCCGGAUUUAUUGGGCGUAAAGAGCUCGUAGGCGGUUUGUCGCGUCUGCCGUGAAAGUCCGGGGCUCAACUCCGGAUCUGCGGUGGGUACGGGCAGACUAGAGUGAUGUAGGGGAGACUGGAAUUCCUGGUGUAGCGGUGAAAUGCGCAGAUAUCAGGAGGAACACCGAUGGCGAAGGCGGUGGUCUGGGCCGGUACUGACGCUGAGGAGCAAAAGCGUGGGGAGCGAACAGG